GACCGCGUAGCUCAGUUGGCACAGCAUUGGGCUAGUAUUCCAAAGGUCGUAGGUUCGAUUCCCACCGUGGUCA
rnacentral:tRNA from 1 species